rnacentral:rRNA from 1 species
UACGUAGGCAGCAAGCGUUGUUCGGAGUUACUGGGCGUAAAGAGCUCGUAGGCGGUUUGUCGCGUCUGCUGUGAAAACUCGAGGCUCAACCUCGGGCUUGCAGUGGGUACGGGCAGACUAGAGUGCGGUAGGGGAGACUGGAAUUCCUGGUGUAGCGGUGGAAUGCGCAGAUAUCAGGAGGAACACCGAUGGCGAAGGCAGGUCUCUGGGCCGCAACUGACGCUGAGGAGCGAAAGCAUGGGGAGCGAACAGG